rnacentral:rRNA from 1 species
AACGAACGCUGGCGGCAUGCCUAACACAUGCAAGUCGAACGAGACCUUCGGGUCUAGUGGCGCACGGGUGCGUAACGCGUGGGAACCUGCCCUUAGGUUCGGAAUAACUCCCCGAAAGGGGUGCUAAUACCGGAUAAUGUCUUCGGACCAAAGAUUUAUCGCCUUUGGAUGGGCCCGCGUUGGAUUAGCUAGUUGGUAGGGUAAAAGCCUACCAAGGCGACGAUCCAUAGCUGGUCUGAGAGGAUGAUCAGCCACACUGGGACUGAGACACGGCCCAGACUCCUACGGGAGGCAGCAGUGGGGAAUAUUGGACAAUGGGCGAAAGCCUGAUCCAGCAAUGCCGCGUGAGUGAUGAAGGCCUUAGGGUUGUAAAGCUCUUUUACCCGGGAUGAUAAUGACAGUACCGGGAGAAUAAGCUCCGGCUAACGCC